AGUGAACGCUGGCGGUAGGCCUAACACAUGCAAGUCGAACGGCAGCACAGUAAGAGCUUGCUCUUACGGGUGGCGAGUGGCGGACGAUUGCGGAAUACAUCGGAAUCUACUUUUUCGUGGGUGAUAACGUAGGGAAACUUACGCUAAUACCGCAUACGACCUACUGGUGAAAGCAGGGGAUCUUCUGACCUUGCGCGAUUGAAUGAGCCGAUGUCGGAUUAGCUAGUUGGCGGGGUAAAGGCCCACCAAGGCGACGAUCCGUAGCUGGUCUGAGAGGAUGAUCAGCCACAAUGGAAAUGAGACACGGUCCAGACUCCUAAGGGAGGCAGCAGUGGGGAAUAUUGGACAAUGGGCGCAAGCCUGAUCCAGCCAUACCGCGUGGGUGAAGAAGGCCUUCGGGUUGUAAAGCCCUUUUGUUGGGAAAGAAAAGCAGCAGGUUAAUACCCCGCUGUUCUGACGGUACCAAAAGAAUAAGCACCGGCUAACUUCGUG
rnacentral:rRNA from 1 species